GUUUUGAAACAGAUAAAAUACUUAUAAUGAAUGUCUCUCCAAAACAGGACCAUUUGGGCUAAGAAGAUGAGAUCUUCAGUCUCACUAGAGGAGAUGAAAUCCUUACUUCUGUUCAAGUAUUCAGCACAUACAGAACACAAAUCACGGAGCUAA
rnacentral:lncRNA from 1 species